GGUCGUUAGCUCAGUUGGUAGAGCAGUUGACUUUUAAUCAAUUGGUCGCAGGUUCGAAUCC
rnacentral:tRNA from 1 species